rnacentral:lncRNA from 1 species
UAAAUAUUAUUAUAUUAACGUAUUGUCACUUUUGAUUUCCCCAAUAAACCCUCUAUGAGUCUACUCAGCUUUCAUAAUUUAUUGCUCAUGUAGAGUGUUCAUACGUUUCCACCCUAGGAAAUUAGUGGGUACGUUCCUCAGUCUUAUGAGCUAUGAGUUCUAUGCCUUGACAUUGUGCCUGGAGAUGCAGGGCAGAGGUAGUUUGGUGGUUUUUCAGCCCAAGGUUGAGUAAACAGAUGUCCCGGAGUUGAUUUUCCCCAGAAUAAUUGCAUACAAUGAGCACAAAUGUUUAAUUAAUCGGGAAUCUUGUGCUUAUUAUCUUUUCACUGGGUUUCCACAAUAAUGACCCAGAGGAAAAUUCUUUUCCUUUGUGUGAAUGAUAUUUUAUUUAAAGGUUUUCAUUUCAUCAUCUGAUUUCCUCCCCUUUUCUAGUGAGGGAGAGAGAAAGGCACUGAAUGAAUGAAUGAAUGAAUGAAUGAAUACCUGUGCCAUCAGCAGAAGGCAGGCACACCCAAGGUCAGGACUGUGGAGCGGUCACAGCGAGGGUGGGUGGAGGGCAUUUUCACCGCUCUAGUCAACCUCAAAACUAUGCUGAAGUCAGAAUAAUUUAAUAUUUUAUAUUCAGCUGGUGGAAACUUCCUUCCCCCAAAUCAAAGUUGGGAGGGAGAAAAGGGAGUUAAGGAAAGGUUUGACACACAAGAAAAUGGAAAGACAGUUGUGUAUGAAAUGAGCUUUGAGUUUUCAGGACUGAACAUUUUGCAGUCCAGGCUGGCUCACUAAUGAAGGACCUGCUCCCCUAACCUGGUGCACAGCACCAAACAUUAAUCAGGCCAUUGUUUGCAUUAAAGGGCUGAGUUUUCCAGUGGGUAAUCAUCAGGGAAACCCAGUCAAGGGCAAACAAGGACGGCGGCCCUGAUUAAUUAAACAUCUGCACGGGGCCUAAAAGCAAGACUUACUCUGUUGGUUGUACAAGAGCUAUUGAUAUUAACACCACAUUGUCUGGAAUUGGGAAACAUUGUUUGCUAAAAUCCACUCUGUACAGAGUUUGGCGUUCAGGGCAUAUCAGGUUAUAUCCUUCUAUGUUAUUUUGGCUUCUUCCUGUGUCACUAGGUGGAAGGGAUUGGGUGAUGGUGUCCAUGGGUUUUCUCUUCAAGGAGAAAGCAGGACUUGAGCUAGCUGUGCCUCACAGGUCAAAGUCAUAAAUGUGGAGAACUGGGGGAAGGCUUCUCUGGGAAGGGUAUUCCAGGGAAUGGGACUAGCGUGAGCAAAGGCAGGAUACCUGGAACUGUAUAGAGAGUGUCUUGAUAACUACAAGGUCUGGUCUGAUUGGAGCCCAGGGCCUAUAAAGUUCAUUGGAAAUCAGUAUUGCAGAAUUGUGCUGAAUGGCAGCCUGAGGAGCUUUGAGGUUCAUUCUGAAAGUCAUGAGAGCUCUUGGAAUUUCCUUGGGUGGGGGCUGGCAUGACCAGAAUAGUGUUUCCAGAAGACCAUCUAGAGUAGUUGGGAGGGGAAGGUGGAUGACUAGAGAGGAGAGAGACGAACAGGGGAGGGACUUAUUAGGAUUAUACCACUUUCAGGUCCAUUUCCAAAGAUAAGAAUUGUCACAGAUAUAACCUAAGGCAAACAAAAUGGCAGAUAUCCAUAUCUGGCACAUUCUUAGACUCAAAAUUAUUUGAUUUGUUUAUCUGAAAUCCAAAUUGAACUUGAUGUACUAUAUUUUUUCCCAACUUUAUUGUGAUAUAAUUGGCACAUAACAUUGUAUAAUUCUAAGGUGUGUGACUAUUGAUUUGAUACAUUUACAACAAAAUGAUUUCACCACCACAGUAUUAAGCUUCCACCACCACUGGCCACAUAGUUACCAUUUCUUUUUUGUAAUGAAAACAUUUAAGAUCCAUCUCAGCACCAUUCAAGUGUAUGAUGCAGUAUAUUUUGUUAUUAUCUAUAAUCAUCUCAUAAUUAUCUAUAAUCAUCUUAUGGCAAAUUAGAUCCCCCAAUUUGUUAAUCUUACAACUGAAAUUUUAUGUCCUUUGGCCAGUAUCUUCCCAUUUCCCUCACUCCCCCAACCCCUGAGAGCUGGCAUCCUGUAUGUUUAUUUGUUAAAUCCAGCAGUCCCAGCCACUGAUGUGGCAACCCUGAGAAUGCCUCUCUCAGAUCUCCAACUGCAGGGAGUCCCUCAUUGGCCAAGGCCUUGGCUUCUGAGCUCUGAAUCUGCUGCAUCUGUGUCGAAGCCACGCUUGCCAUGGUCACUCCCAGCCAAUGACAUAACACGGCAGGGAUGCCAAAAUGCCAGAUUCCUCUGUCAGGUGACUUUGGCUCCAGAACUUCCUGAAGACCUUGCUAAACUCACCUUAAUACUGUACUGCAGUCCAAGAUGCUUGCAUUCAGCCUUCCUUCCAUCUCUUUCUCUCCUUUUCUAGGGGUCAGAUCAGCUCUGCAGUCUGACAUUUCUCCCAGCCUCUUCUGGCUCCUUUUGCCUUUUCUCUCAUAGGUCAUAGCGAAGGUUUGUAUGUCUAAUCCCAUCCUGACAUCUGCUCCUUGUAGGUAUACCUGUCUUGGUAUUAGUCUUAGACUAAUGUACCUGGUGUCUAAACAGAAACUGUCAGGAGCUGGCUAGGGAAAGUUCAUGAUUCAUAGUUGUGGAACAGGAACCAGUGAAGGUUAUAAGGCAGCAGGUAGUAAAGGAGAGGAGAGAGAGGAUUUGAAGGGGGCAAAAACUAUCCAGCUUAGGUUAGUUUUACUUAGUUCUUAAUGAAGACCACACAUCAAAAACCAUACCUAGUACAUUUUGCACUGCCCAUGCUCAUGCCCACAGAUUAUGUUUUAGAUCUUAGGUGCUGUUCAGGCACCUGUGAUGCUGAUGCUCAGUCCUGGUUGAAAAACUUUAUUUUAAAAGACCUCAAUCAGGGGUGGUAAAUAGAUUCUGUUUCCACGAGAAUUCUGAUAAAUUGGUAGUGACCUUGGAGGAAAGUUCUCUGAGGGGCUGUGUAGUCACAUCUGGGUCCAGGGGAAGAGCACUGGGAUUGAUUAGUAUAGUCUGUUAUGGUUGAGGAAGUCAGGGUAUCAGAUGAGUGAGUGUGGUGCCUUUGUCAGCCCUGCCCACCUUUGUGAAGUCUUAACAGGCAACAUCCUGUGCCUGAAAGGAGGCUAUUGCUAUCCUCUGGGAAAAAAACAAGAGGGCCUGAAACAGAGGUGAGGAAGCCAGGACUGGAGAGGAGAAGAUAGGAAGGUAAAUAUGAGAUUUAGCAAAAGAAAGACUUGGGGAGUUCCCAUCGUGGCUCAGUGGUUAACGAAUCCGACUAGGAACCAUGAGGUUGCAGGUUCGAUCCCUGGCCUUGCUCAGUGGGUUAAGGAUCUGGUGUUGCCGUGAGCUGUGGUGUAGGUCGCAGAUGCGGCUUGGAUCCUGAGUUGCUGUGGCUGUCCCUGGUGGCUCCGAUUAGACCCCUAGCCUGGGAACCUCCUUAUGCUGCAGAAGUGGCUCUAGAAAUGGC